AAAGAGUGCAGCUUUGCACAGUUCAACGUUUGACCGUCUGUCUUAUUUAAAUUUUUUUAAUUAGUAUUUUUGUUGUUAUUAGAUGAUAAAACAUAAAUAGUACUUUAUUUGUGACUAUUUUUUUUUAUUUUUUCAUAAAUUUUCAAAUUAGACGAAUGAUCAAACAUUGGACAUAGAAACCCACAACUGCAUUUAAG
rfam:Oryza barthii chromosome 5, whole genome shotgun sequence.